rnacentral:tRNA from 1 species
GCUUGGGUGGCUCGGUCGGUUGGGCAUCCGACUUCAGCUCAGGUCAUGAUCUCACGGUCCGUGGGUUCGAGUCCCGCAUCAGGCU